GCGCUAGUAGCUUAGUUUGGCCAAAGCGCCACUUUGCCAUGGUGGAGACCGCGGGUUCAAGUCCCGCCUGGCGCA
rnacentral:tRNA from 1 species